rnacentral:rRNA from 1 species
GACGAACGCUGGCGGCGUGCUUAACACAUGCAAGUCGAACGAUGAUGCUGGAGCUUGCUCCAGUUGAUUAGUGGCGAACGGGUGAGUAACACGUGAGCAAUCUGCCCUUGACUCUGGGAUAACUGCGGGAAACUGUAGCUAAUACCGGAUACUUUCACCGGGGGGCUUCCUCUGGUGAUGAAAGAAUUUCGGUCAAGGAUGAGCUCGCGGCCUAUCAGCUUGUUGGUGAGGUAACGGCUCACCAAGGCGACGACGGGUAACCGGCCUGAGAGGGUGACCGGUCACACUGGGACUGAGACACGGCCCAGACUCCGACGGGAGGCAGCAGUGGGGAAUAUUGCACAAUGGGCGCAAGCCUGAUGCAGCAACGCCGCGUGAGGGAUGAAGGACUUCGGGUUGUAAACCUCUUUUAGCAGGGAAGAAGCGAAAGUGACGGUACCUGCAGAAAAAGCACCGGCUAACUACGUGCCAGCCGCCGCAGUAA